AACGAACGCUGGCGGCAGGCCUAACACAUGCAAGUCGAGCGAGGACUUCGGUUCGAGCGGCGGACGGGUGAGUAACGCGUGGGAAUGUGCCCUUCUCUACGGAAUAGCCCUGGGAAACUGGGAGUAAUACCGUAUACGCCCUAUUGGGGAAAGAUUUAUCGGAGAAGGAUCAGCCCGCGUUGGAUUAGGUAGUUGGGGGGGUAAUGGCCUACCAAGCCGACGAUCCAUAGCUGGUGUGAGAGGAUGAUCAGCCACACUGGGACUGAGACACGGCCCAGACUCCUACGCGAGGCAGCAGUGGGGAAUCUUAGACAAUGGGGGCAAGCCUGAUCUAGCCAUGCCGGGUGAGUGAUGAAGGCCUUAGGGUUGUAAAGCUCUUUAAGCUGGGAAGAUAAUGACGGUACCAGAAGAAGAAGCCCCGGCUAACUACGUG
rnacentral:rRNA from 1 species